AGGUGGUUGGUGUCAUGAUAAAGAAUCACAGUUCUAAUACAACAGCACUUGGAGGGUUCAAAAUUGACGAGAUAGUGCAAGCAUGGAAUGAGAUGUAUGAUGGGUGGCAAUUUGAUGUUCCAUCAUUUCGACUUGAACCGUUGUUUCGUCGGCGUGUUCCAAAACUACAUGACAUCUUGGAGCAAUUUUGAGUGUUCUUACUUAGAGUUUGUUGUUCUUUAGAAGCAUAUAUAAUGCUUCUGUUUUGUCUAUUACAUAUUUUUGAAGGCUUCCUCCUCCUCUAAGACAGGGAUUUUUUUCAUUUUUUUUUUAUUUUCUCCCCCUCCAUGCUGCUUUGAAUAGCUCAUUGAUGGUUGCUGAGAUUGGAUUAUUUUUUCAUUUCCAUGUCAAUUUUGAAUGAAGUUGGGAUGUCAUUCUAGAAAGCAUUGUUAUAUGUAUAUUUUUUAAAUCUUUUAUUAGGGUAUUAUAGUGUAAGGUUGUCAUUCUUUUCGGUUGUAAUAGCAGUAUAUGAUUUCAUUUAUUGGCAAGGUAGUGAGGUGACUUGAAUUUUUCAGUUGGAAAAAGGAAAAAACCAAUAAAAUGAUUGUUCAGUGUGUUGGUCAGCUGAGGUUUGCUGAUUAUUUUGGUUGUCAAAUUGCCAUUUUGUAACAUUAUAUGAUUGUCAUAUAGCAAAAAGUAUGUAUUUUCAUCCU